ensembl:ncRNA C23H5.13 ncRNA
UUGUGUUUUAAAUCAACUAUAUUGUAUAAAAUUCAAAAAUAUUGACUUAUAACCAAGUUAUGACAAUGUUAAGUUGGUGGCCUAGAAACGCAAAACUUUG